CCAAAGGCUCUUUUCAGAGCCACCCACAAAUCUCAGUAAAAGAGCU
rfam:Neotoma lepida isolate 417 scaffold_1433, whole genome shotgun sequence.